rnacentral:lncRNA from 1 species
AUGUAAUGACGGCGUGUCACCAAAAAGAGGAAUUAGCAAAACCUGCAGUGCGGAGUGCUUCAGCCUGUGACCACACUGGAAUCUGGUGCCCCUAGGCAGUAACUGGGAUGGAGCCAUCUGACUCUUUUGGACCAAGCUGGCACCACAGAUCCCAGGCACCUCUGCGGGGAUGAACCUUCUCUGCUUCUUUGGAGACCUUGCCCAUUGUGUGUUGGAGUAGGAGAUGUCUGUCCAGAAAUCUAAACCAGUUCACACAUCUGCUAGCAAAGCCCAGGUCCCCGCUACUCCAAAUUUUCAUCGUCUUUUGGAAUUUUCAAUUCUGCAACUUUGAGCCCCUUCGGUCAGAUGUAAGAGGAACAGGAGGAGACGCUGGCAGAGGCAGUCAACCAGGACGGUACAAAAAUGAUUUGACUCCCACCUGAGAUAGAUACAGGGAAGGAUGCAGGAGUGUAGGGGGAGGGGAGGGAGAGAGGGUAGAAGGUGAAGAGAAAGAGGGAAGGAGAGAAAGGUGAAAAGGAUGAUGGGAAAGAAGCGAGAUGUUAACAGAGGCCAGCAGAACACAGGCAUGAGGAGACAGACCGGACGGAGCAGAACAGACUGGGGGGCCGGCCCCCGUGAGGAGGGCGUGCAGAAACGGGUCUCUUGGUAUUUUUUGAAACAUGCCCCCCCUUUUUAAAAGUGCUUCUUGGUAUUUUUGUGUUUAUAUGUUUUAACUCGAGCUCGGACUCAUGGAAAAUGCAUGAGGGAUAAGUGGUGCCUGGGAAUGUUUUAUACAUGACCAGGGAGUUGCAGGAUGCGGAGGUGGUGGAGAGAGGCGGCGACGGUGUGGAUGGAUGGAUACUGCUAGGGCCUCCUCCCACAGGACUCAGAGUGGACAGGACACACGCCAGCAGGCUUUUCUCAAGGUCACGUGGAAGGUGACAGCCUGUGUGCUCAGCUCCACCACCUCCGGGACUUCAGGUUAUUGCUACCAUCCCUCCGAGCCUCAGUUUCCCCUUCUGCACCACGGGAUGCUAGUAGUCAUGGUCUGGGGAGAGGUUGUUCUGUUAGGGAACCAGGGAAAGCUCCUGCUACAGGAAACAGGCUAUCAGGCCCUGAAAGAAGAGGGCUCAGGGAAGCCACGCCCUCACCAUCACCCAGCUGUCUAUCAUCCGCUUUCCUCUUAGUGCUUAGCGAUACUUGGUGGUAAAGCCCUCUCAGACCUGAGUGGAGCGGAGGCUUCUGAGCUACCAGACCCUGCAUGCCACACACACAGGUGGCUCUUGCCCUCACUGCAUUUGUCCUUCGCCAAAGACAGGGCUAAAGAUGUGGCUCACGUGAUAGAUUACUUGCCUAGAAUAUGAGAUGUCUCGAGUUUGAUCACCUACAUUAUAUAAAGCAGCUGUGUGGUCUGUAUCUUUGACCUCAGCACUGAAGAAGUAGAGGCAGGAGGAUCAGAAAUGUAAGGUCAUUCUAAGCAAGUUCAAGAUCAGACUGGGACACUUAAGACUCUGUCUCAAGAAAGAAAAGGACAACAAAAUAAUAAUGAUCAACAACUCUCUAGGAAGGGGCUGGCACACCCCCCCCCCCGGAACAGCCCCAUGGACAGCUGUGCAUCUCCCAGGGGAAGCCACGCUGUAUUAGUUAGGGUUCUCUAGAGUAGCAGAAUAUAUACACAUAUAUACACACACACAUAUAUAUAUAUAUACACAUAUACAUACACAAUAUACAUAUAUGUACACAUAUAUACACACAUAUACAUAUAUGUAUACACACAUACAAACAUAUACAUACAUGUAUACACACAUGUAUAAACACACAUAUAUAUACAUAAACUUAUACACAUACAGAUAUACAUAUACACAUAUACACAUAUACAGUCCGGUUAAUCCAACAAUGGCUGGCCAUGUAGAGAAGCCCAGUAAUCCUGUAGAUGCCCAACUCAUUCCAUGAGGCUGGAUGUUUCAAGUGGUUUUCAGCACAUUCUAGAAUCCCAAAGAAGUAGGCUCUAAUGCCAGUGAAGAGAUAGACUUAGCAGCAAGGCACGGGGAAGCAGGCCAAGAGAAUCUCUCCAUGCCCUCUGCAUCAGCUCCUGCCUCCAGGUUCCUGCCUGUGUGAGUUCUUAUCCUGACUUCAAUGAUGAACAGUGAUGUGGAAGUGUAAGCUGAACAAACCCUUUCCUUCCCAAGCCACCUUUGGUCAUGGUGUUUAUCACAGCAGUAGCAGCUCUAAGACCUUCCUGCCUCAGGAUUUUGCUUUCAGAACCUCAUUUGCUCUACAGAAGCUCCUUCCUCCUUGGUGGCCCUGGAACUCAGCACUCAGCCCCAUCAUUGAUGUCUCUCUGAUCUCUUCAUGGGAGGCCACAGAGGAGGCUGCAUGUCUCUGUGUUCCUGAAGCCCAUCAACCCUCCCGACACUCUGUGGGGCUUCAGGGAAGCACGAACAAUGACCUCACCCUCAGAGUCCAGGCUCUAAGAAUCACAUUCACGCCCAAGAUAGACUCAGAGUCUUCUAGAAUUUUCCUUCUAGGAGCUGGAUCCUGUACCCUUGCAGGCCCGAUGAUGCAGGCUCGUGUGUGUGUGUGUGUGUGUGUGUGUGUGUGUGUGUGGUUGUAGGAAGGGACCAGGCCUCUCAAGUUCCCCCCACACUCAUUGUGUCACUGAGUACAUAGCAUGUGUAGUGGCUGGUUUUGUGUCAAUUUGACACAGGCUGGAGUUAUCACAGAGAAAGGAGCUUCCCUUGAGGAAAUGCCUCCAUGAGAUCCAGCUGUAAGGCAUUUUCUCAAUUAGUGAUCAAGGGUAGGAGGGCCCAUUAUGGGUGGGACCAGUCCAUUGUGGGUAGGGCCAGCCCUGGACUCGUAGUUCUGGGCUCUAUAAGAAAGCAAGCUGAACAAGCCAGGGGGAGCAAGCCAGUAAGUAAUAUCCCUCCAUGGCUUCUGCAUCAGUUUCUGCUUAAGUUCCAGUUCCUGACCUGCUUCAGUUCCAGUCCUGACUUCCUUUGGUGAUGAACAGCAAUGUGGAAGUGUAAGCUGAAUAAACCCUUUCCUCCCC